rnacentral:rRNA from 1 species
UACGGGAGGCAGCAGUGGGGAAUAUUGCACAAUGGGCGCAAGCCUGAUGCAGCCAUGCCGCGUGUAUGAAGAAGGCCUUCGGGUUGUAAAGUACCUUCAGUCGUGAGGAAGGUGUUAAGGUUAAUAACCUUAGCAAUUGACGUUAGCGACAGAAGAAGCACCGGCUAACUCCGUGCCAGCAGCCGCGGUAAUACGGAGGGUGCGAGCGUUAAUCGGAAUUACUGGGCGUAAAGGGCACGCAGGCGGUUAAUUAAGUUGGAUGUGAAAUCCCCGGGCUUAACCUGGGAAUGGCAUUCAAGACUGGUUAGCUAGAGUCUUGUAGAGGGGGUAGAAUUCCAUGUGUAGCGGUGAAAUGCGUAGAGAUGUGGAGGAAUACCGGUGGCGAAGGCGGCCCCUGGGACAAAGACUGACGCUCAUGUGCGAAAGCGUGGGGGAGCGAAACAGGGAUUAGAUACC